UCGUCUUUACGGGCACGGAUGUAUAUCAACAAAGCAGCAUGAAAAGAUGAUAAAAUUAAACUCACAUCAACCUUUAUCAUGUAUUGGCACAUCUUCUACCAGUGGUGUUCUUCCAUCUGUUUGUAUAAUAUGCAAGAAAGUCAACUCGUAUAUCAAACUUGCCGGAAAACGAACCAAAGACAUAGUGUUUAAAACACAAACUCAAGAUGGUGGUUUGCUACGAGAAGCUGCUACAAAGAAAGAAGAUGAGUCUAUUUUAAAACACAUUCGAGAAGUGAAGCCGAGGCAGCCACAUAUCGAAAAACCUUUGAAGUUUUUGGGCAAGAUGUGGUACGCACCAGAAUAAUUCAUGGAGAUGAGAUUUUAUAUAUGUCAAAGCUCCUUGAUAUAUUUAAAAAAAUGGUUCUCAAGAUUGAAAAAUUGGAUGCUUCCAAUUUCAGGUCCUUAGAACUGAAGAAAAGAUUACGGGUCCAAUUCCCACAGUUAGUGUUUCACAGACCUGCUAAACGUGUUAAAAGUGAUAUGGUCUUUGUUGAAGAAAUAUCACAUGUGGAAAAAUUUAAAUCAUCGACCAGUGAAAGGACGGAGACUGAGAUGGAGUCAUCGUGUUCAGAAACUCGUGUACAAAAUACACAGAAUUUUGAUGACGACGCUUUACACUGUCUCUAUACAUCAGCAAUGAAAUUACGUGGUGAAUUUUUAAAAACAAGUGGUUAUGAAGGACCUUGGCGUAAACAUGCUUCUGAUAUCACUAUUGAAAAUGCUAAGUCAGCGAUUCCAAUAAAAUUAUUUAAUAUUCUUGCAUGGACGAUCGGAGCUUCAGAUGAUCCAACACUAGAGUAUUAUGUCGAUGUUGAACAAUCUGUUGAUUUAAAAUUAAUUUCUAUUCUUCAAGGUAUUAUAUUGCAAUCUAAAGGCAGGAAGCAUACACCCAAAUCUCUCGCUUUGGGGCUAACUUGAUCCAGUGCUAGAGGACAUUUUUAUGUACAUUGUAACUGUAAAACUGUGCCUUAAGAUGCUCAUGUUGACUCGCAAAUCUCUGUGGAUGUAGGGUCUUAGCAGUGGAGAAAACGCUUGAGGUUGAACAAGUGACUCUACCCUACUCCUUGUCAUGUACAACCUGGGAACCGAAACCAAGCCACUUAAUGAACUCUAAUGAGUAUUCUAUAGGCUUUUGGACAUUUGAUUUUGUUAUGUUUGAGAGAGAAUGGCGUUUUCAUCCUGACCAAGUGCUUAUAUGGAAGGUACAUGUAGGUAUGAUUUGGGCAAGUCCAAAGGUUUGUGUCGGAUCAAUAUGGUAUAUUCAGUAAUUCUCUGCAUACAGGUGCCGACCCUGUUAGUGGCAGAUAAUUAGAGACUGCAUAGAAAAGUGGCAAGAUUAUGAAGACAGCACUACUACUUGUCACGUAAAGGCAUCGAAUUAAACUCCCAACACAAGCAUCCUUGACACCCCUGGUAGUGCAGAGCAAGCGUCUAGCUUCCUAACCAAGCCACCAUGAAUGGCUUCUCCACCACUUGAAUCACUGACACCCACACAUAACAAAUAAAAGCAGAUCAAUGUGUUUCUAAUUUAUUCUAUAUUCUUUUAUUAUGUGCUGUGUAUACAUACAAUUCUUUAAUAUCUUGAAUAUAUAAUAUCCAAAAAAAUAAAAUAUA